rnacentral:rRNA from 1 species
UGGGGAAUAUUGCACAAUGGGGGAAACCCUGAUGCAGCGACGCCGCGUGAGCGAAGAAGGUUUUCGAAUCGUAAAGCUCUGUCCUAUGGGAAGAUAAUGACGGUACCAUAGGAGGAAGCCCCGGCUAACUGCGUGCCAGCAGCCGCGGUAAUACGUAGGGGGCAAGCGUUGUCCGGAAACACUGGUCGUAAAGGGUUCGCAGGCGGAAAUGCAAGUCAGUUGUGAAAGGCAGAGGCUCAACCUCUGUAAGCAAUUGAAACUGUAUUUCUUGAGAUGUGGAGAGGCAAGUGGAAUUCCUAGUGUAGCGGUGAAAUGCGUAGAUAUUAGGAAGAAUACCGGUGGCGAAGGCGACUUGCUGGACACAAACUGACGCUGAGGAACGAAAGAGUGAGUAGCAAACAGG